rnacentral:rRNA from 1 species
CGAUUAGGCAGCAGUGGGGAAUAUCCGGCAAUGGGCGCAAGCCUGACCGAGCAACGCCGCGUGAGUGAUUAAGGCCUUCGGGUUGUAAAGCUCUGUUGUAAGGGAAGAAAAAUCAGUAGAGGAAAUGAUACUGAUCUGACGGUACCUUACCAGAAAGCCACGGCUAACUACGUGCCAGCAGCCGCGGUAAUACGUAGGUGGCAAGCGUUAUCCGGAAUUAUUGGGCGUAAAGGGUGCGUAGGCGGUUUAUUAAGUCUAUGGUGAAAGUGCGGGGCUCAACCCCGUAUGGCCAUAGAAACUGAUAGACUAGAGUGCAGGAGAGGGCAAUGGAAUUCCAUGUGUAGCGGUAAAAUGCGUAGAUAUAUGGAGGAACACCAGUGGCGAAGGCGGUUGCCUGGCCUGUAACUGACGCUGAAGCACGAAAGCGUGGGGAGCAAAUAGGAUUAGAUACCCUAGUAGUCCCACGCCGUAAACGAUGAAUACUAAGUUUUUGGAGAAAUUCAGUGCUGCAGUUAACGCAAUAAGUAUUUCCGCCUGGGGAGUAUGCACGCCAAGUGUGAAACUCAAAGGAAUUGACGGGACCCCCGCACAAGCGGGGGGAUUAUGUUGUUUAAUUUCGACGCAACCGAAGAAACCUUACCAGGCUUUGAAAUACUCUGAAAAACCCAAAGAUAGGGGGG